rnacentral:lncRNA from 1 species
GGGUUUUCAUAUAUCCAGUUCCAGUCUCUCUCCCUCUCUGCAUUGACGACGGCUACAUCGCUAAUCCUCCCAAAUCUCCAAAUUCAUCCAGAUCGGAAACCAGUCAAUGCCGACCACCUUUGAACGGAAUCUCAAUCUAUGUUUCACCAAAAUCAAACGCCCCCAAUCACCACCACCAUCUCCUCCUCCUCCUCCUCCCCACCGCCAUCGCCACCACCAUCGUCGCCGCCACUCCGAGCAAUCCCUACACAAUCCCAAAUCUAACCUCAUCAAAAACUUCAACACUCUCUAUGACAUUCCCCCCGCCUCCGAUUCUGACGACUCAU